rnacentral:rRNA from 1 species
CCUUGGAGAGUGGGAUAACUAGCCGAAAGGUUAGCUAAUACCGCAUAAGCUCACGGGGUCUUCGGACCUUGAGGGAAAAGGCGGCCUCUGUAUACAAGCUGUCACUCCAAGAUGAGCCCGCGGCCCAUCAGCUAGUUGGCGGUGUAAAAGACCACCAAGGCUAUGACGGGUAGCUGGUCUGAGAGGACGAUCAGCCACACUGGAACUGAGACACGGUCCAG